CUGCAGGAGAGUUUGCCUUGCCCUCUUUCAACUGCUGCUGUUUGAAUCUGUAAUAAAGCGCUUGCAAGCUGCUCCACAAAACUGCAUUGAGGACCCUGUGGGAGUCUACAAAGCACUUGCACAUGAUACAAGCAAAAUAGAGUCUUUUAUUUACUUUCAUGUUCUCGUGGAUACGGAUAGAGACAAAGGAUUUUCUCAGGAUACUGACCUUGGAAUAUUUUAUCAAACGGAGACACUAAUUUUCUAGAUUCCUGUAAUAACUAAAGAGAAAACUUGUCCUGCAAAACCACAGAAAUGGAAGUUGAUGAUCUGUAAAAGUUAGAGAAAGGGAGAUACAGGUUUUCAGGCUUUAGGCUGAUUCUUGCAUGAAUUUGAAUUAUUGGACUAAGUCAAAUUAUUGAAAUGAAGAGCAGACAGUUUGUACAGAAGUCCACGCAGAAGUCUACUGUCAUGACAUUCAUAGAGUGUCAUUUCAUCUCUCAAAUCAAAAGCAAAUGUGAUAAAUAAUACAUAAAUCACCAUGGUGGAGGAAAAAUCAACUUCAUUGACUUUAUUCUGCCUUUAUAUCAUCAGGUUAUUUUCCACUAUU
rnacentral:lncRNA from 1 species